rnacentral:rRNA from 1 species
ACGACAUCGCUGGGCAUCCGGCGGUGUGGAAAGUUUUUCGGUUGGGGAUGGGCUCGCGGCCUAUCAGCUUGUUGGUGGGGUGAUGGCCUACCAAGGCGACGACGGGUAGCCGGCCUGAGAGGGCGACCGGCCACACUGGGACUGAGACACGGCCCAGACUCCUACGGGAGGCAGCAGUGGGGAGUAUUGCACAAUGGGCGAAAGCCUGAUGCAGCGACGCCGCGUGAGGGAUGAAGGCCUUCGGGUUGUAAACCUCUUUCAGCAGGGAAGAAGCGAGAGUGACGGUACCUGCAGAAGAAGCGCCGGCUAACUACGUGCCAGCAGCCGCGGUAAUACGUAGGGCGCAAGCGUUGUCCGGAUUUAUCGGGCGUAAAGAGCUCGUAGGCGGUCUGUCGCGUCUGCUGUGAAAACCUGGGGCUUAACCCCGGGCCUGCAGUGGGUACGGGCAGACUAGAGUGCGGUAGGGGAGACUGGAAUUCCUGGUGUAGCGGUGAAAUGCGCAGAUAUCAGGAGGAACACCGGUGGCGAAGGCGGGUCUCUGGGCCCGUAACUGACGCUGAGGAGCGAAAGCGUGGGUAGCGAACAGGAUUAGAUACCCUGGUAGUCCACGCCGUAAACGUUGGGCGCUAGGUGUGGGGCUCAUUCCACGAGUUCCGUGCCGCAGCAAACGCAUUAAGCGCCCCGCCUGGGGAGUACGGCCGCAAGGCUAAAACUCAAAGGAAUUGACGGGGCCCCGCACAAGCGGCGGAGCAUGCGGAUUAAUUCGAUGCAACGCGAAGAACCUUACCAAGGCUUGACAUACAGGGAAAUCCCACAGAGAUGUGGGGUCCGCAAGGGUCCUGUACAGGUGGUGCAUGGUUGUCGUCAGCUCGUGUCGUGAGAUGUUGGGUUAAGUCCCGCAACGAGCGCAACCCUCGUCCUAUGUUGCCAGCGGGUCAUGCCGGGGACUCAUAGGAGACUGCCGGGGUCAACUCGGAGGAAGGUGGGGAUGACGUCAAAUCAUCAUGCCCCUUAUGUCUUGGGCUUCACGCAUGCUACAAUGGCCAGUACAAAGGGCUGCGAGACCGCAAGGUGGAGCGAAUCCCAAAAAGCUGGUCUCAGUUCGGAUUGGGGUCUGCAGCUCGACCCCAUGAAGUCGGAGUCGCUAGUAAUCGCAGAUCAGCAACGCUGCGGUGAAUACGUUCCCGGGGCUUGUACACACCGCCCGUCACGUCACGAAAGUCGGUAACACCCGAAGCCGGUGGCCUAACCCCUUGUGGGAGGGAGCUGUCGAAGGUGGGACUGGCGAUUGGGACG